rnacentral:piRNA from 1 species
AAUUAGAACUCUAAACUUAGACU